GAUGAAGAACGUAGCGAAAUGCGAUAAGUAAUGUGAAUUGCAGAAUUCAGUGAAUCAUCGAAUCUUUGAACGCACAUUGCGCCCGCCAGUAUUCUGGCGGGCAUGCCUGUUCGAGCGUCAUUACAACCCUCAGGCCCCCGGGCCUGGCGUUGGGGAUCGGCGGAAGCCCCCUGCGGGCACAACGCCGUCCCCCAAAUACAGUGGCGGUCCCGCCGCAGCUUCCAUUGCGUAGUAGCUAACACCUCGCAACUGGAGAGCGGCGCGGCCACGCCGUAAAACACCCAACUUCUGAAUGUUGACCUCGAAUCAGGUAGGAAUACCCACUGAACUUAAGCAUAUCAAAAGCGGAGGA
rnacentral:misc_RNA from 1 species